rnacentral:rRNA from 1 species
GAUGAACGCUGGCGGCGUGCCUAAUACAUGCAAGUCGAGCGAACAGACGAGGAGCUUGCUCCUCUGACGUUAGCGGCGGACGGGUGAGUAACACGUGGAUAACCUACCUAUAAGACUUGGAUAACUUCGGGAAACCGUAGCUAAUACCGGAUAAUAUAUUUAACCUCAUGGUUCAAUAGUUAAAGACGGUUUUGCUGUCACUUAUAGAUGGAUCCGCGCCGCAUUAGCUAGUUGGUAAGGUAACGGCUUACCAAGGCAACGAUGCGUAGCCGACCUGAGAGGGUGAUCGGCCACACUGGAACUGAGACACGGUCCAGACACCUACGGGAGGCAGCAGUAGGGAAUCUUCCGCAAUGGGCGAAAGCUUGACGGAGCAACGCCGCGUGAGUGAUGAAGGUCUUCGGAUCGUAAAACUCUGUUAUUAGGGAAGAACAAAUGUGUAAGUAACUAUGCACGUCUUGACGGUACCUAAACAGAAAGCCACGGCUAACUACGUG